rnacentral:rRNA from 1 species
UGAUAUAUAAUCACGACAUCGUGGAAAUAUCAAAUCUUCGGAGCCUUCGGGAUGAAGCCUGCGUCUGAUUAGGUAGUUGGCGGAGUAAUAGCCCACAAGCCUACGAUCAGUAGCUGGUCUGAGAGGAUGAUUCAGCCACACUGGAACUGAGACACGGUCCAGACUCCUACGGGAGGCAGCAGUAAGGAAUAUUGCUCAAUGGGGGAAACCCUGAAGCAGCAACGCCGCGUGAAGGAUGAAAUACUUUGUAUGUAAACUUCUGUAAGAUGGGAAAAAUAUUCUCCUCGGGAGAAUUGAUUGUACCAUCAGAGUAAGCCCCGGCUAACUACGUG